GCUGGGCGUGGUGGCGCAUGCCUGUAAUCCCAGCUACUUGGGAGGCUGAGGUAGGAGGAUCGCUUGAGCCUGGGAAGUGGAGGUUGCAGUGAGCUGAGAUCGUGCCACUGCACUCCAGCCUGGGUGACAGAGUGAGACUCCAUUUCAA
rnacentral:SRP_RNA from 1 species